CCCUUAGAUGUCCUGGGCUGCACGCGCGCUACACUGAUGUGUCCAGUAAGCACCUAACCUCUUCCGAAAGGAACGGGUAACCUUUGCAAAGCACAUCGUGAUGGGGAUAGAUUAUUGCAAUUAUUAGUCUUGAACGAGGAAUUCCUAGUAAGCACAAGUCAUCAGCUUGUGUUGAUUACGUCCCUGCCCUUUGUACACACCGCCCGUCGCUCCGACCGAUUGAAUGUUCCGGUGAGCUCUUCGGACUGCGCGGUCUGCAGUUUCUGCGUUCCGUGCGGAAAGUUGCGCAAACCUUAACAUUUAGAGGAAGGAGAAGUCGUAACA
rnacentral:rRNA from 1 species